AUGUUUUCCUGAAUUUUCUUAGUCGGAUUUCCAUUGCAGUGAGCAAGAAAAGAAUGUCUGCUGCGAGGCGGAUCAUAUUGAGUGAUGUAAGAUCGGUGAUUCUAUGAGAAAUCCUCUGACUGGCUUCUGAAGAAACUGAUGUCCUGUUCACAUGUUAGAACAUGGAUAGGUACUUCUGGAUUGUCCCUAAAUCCUGGGCAGAGGCAUACCAUGAACGUGCACCAACUCUACAAGCAGAACUGGCUGAAUUAGCCUCGGAAAAUCACAAGAUGAGCAGAUAGUGACGCCGCAGAUGAGCUUGGUGCUGUACUUGCUGCCUGUUAUUGAUCAUCCUGAUCCAAGCAAAGGGACUAUUAUCAAUGGUCCUGACAACAAGCCUAUCAUUGGUGUUCUGCAAUACUGACCUUAAUGUCCAGGACUGGGACUGCUGACGGUUGGGACCGCAUUCACAUGAGAACCUCCAAUUUCUCCAUUCAAGAUUUUGUUGAGAUUGGGAUUGUUAUGUCAGUUAGAAAUGUAUUAAGAUUUUUUGUAACUCUUUAUAUUGCGAACUGAGAUUGGGAUUCA